CGGCGGUUCGGCGGUUCGGUUCUCUGGCCUGAUAUUCCGGAGGCACGUGCCGGUUCCGAACCGAUACUCUCCGUUAUCAUCCACGGUUGCUAGGCAUGACAGGUUUUGGAGAUACCAGGUCAUGUGAAAAAAAUGGAGGAGUUUAAAUGUGGUUUGUUGAGUUUAAAUGUGGUUUGUUGUAGAAUUUUAUUUGUUGAAAUAAUAUUUAUCCUCUUAAUUUGCAUCAUGUUCUCUUAUUAUCUUAUCUUCAACAUUUACGGAGGUUAAAAUUUUAGUAUAGAUCUCAUAUGUAUUGGACUUGUUUGAUGGGGGAUGAGAUGAUCGUUUGGGUGAUUGUGAUUUUGAUUGGUUUA